GGACCUAGCGGCGGACGGGUGAGUAAUGCUUAGGAAUCUGCCUAUUAGUGGGGGACAACAUCUCGAAAGGGAUGCUAAUACCGCAUACGUCCUACGGGAGAAAGCAGGGGAUCUUCGGACCUUGCGCUAAUAGAUGAGCCUAAGUCGGAUUAGCUAGUUGGUGGGGUAAAGGCCUACCAAGGCGACGAUCUGUAGCGGGUCUGAGAGGAUGAUCCGCCACACUGGGACUGAGACACGGCCCAGACUCCUACGGGAGGCAGCAGUGGGGAAUAUUGGACAAUGGGCGCAAGCCUGAUCCAGCCAUGCCGCGUGUGUGAAGAAGGCCUUAUGGUUGUAAAGCACUUUAAGCGAGGAGGAGGCUACUUUAGAUAAUACCUAGAGAUAGUGGACGUUACUCGCAGAAUAAGCACCGGCUAACUCUGUGCCAGCAGCCGCGGUAAUACAGAGGGUGCAAGCGUUAAUCGGAUUUACUGGGCGUAAAGCGCGCGUAGGCGGCUAAUUAAGUCAAAUGUGAAAUCCCCGAGCUUAACUUGGGAAUUGCAUUCGAUACUGGUUAGCUAGAGUGUGGGAGAGGAUGGUAGAAUUCCAGGUGUAGCGGUGAAAUGCGUAGAGAUCUGGAGGAAUACCGAUGGCGAAGGCAGCCAUCUGGCCUAACACUGACGCUGAGGUGCGAAAGCAUGGGGAGCAAACAGGAUUAGAUACCCUGGUAGUCCAUGCCGUAAACGAUGUCUACUAGCCGUUGGGGCCUUUGAGGCUUUAGUGGCGCAGCUAACGCGAUAAGUAGACCGCCUGGGGAGUACGGUCGCAAGACUAAAACUCAAAUGAAUUGACGGGGGCCCGCACAAGCGGUGGAGCAUGUGGUUUAAUUCGAUGCAACGCGAAGAACCUUACCUGGCCUUGACAUAGUAAGAACUUUCCAGAGAUGGAUUGGUGCCUUCGGGAACUUACAUACAGGUGCUGCAUGGCUGUCGUCAACUCUUGUCUGGAGAUGUUGGGUUAAGUCCCGCAACUAGCGCAACCCUUUUCCUUAUUUGCCAGCAAGUAAUGUCGGGAACUUUAAG
rnacentral:rRNA from 1 species